rnacentral:misc_RNA from 1 species
GUGAAUCAUCGAAUUUUUGAACGCAAAUUGCACUCUCUUCGGAGAGUAUGCCUGUUUGAGGGUAAUUAAAAAGAAUCUUUAACCAAUUUUUUUUGGUUAAAGGAAAUGAGUUCUCCGCGUUUAUAGCGGUAGCUUGAAAUAAAUGGUAGUCUCAUUUUAGUCGAGACGCGUAAUAAUUUUAUUUCGCGAAAUCUUUAUUAUGUGACUAUCAAGUUUUGAUGCAUACAAAUUUGGUUUGUAUGCGAUUAAUACAACUAUUUUGAACAUUACCUCAAAUCAGGUAGGAGUACCCGCUGAACUU